rnacentral:piRNA from 1 species
UAAAAGUGGCUCCGAGCUAGG